CCCUGCCCAGCGGCCCCUGCACAAAGCUCCAGAAACUGUGAAAGUACCUUCAGCAUAAACAAAUCCACAGCUCUCCCAGGACAAAUCACUUGCCAGCUGAAGGGAGGGCCUAGGGUUUAUGGUUCACUCGGAGCUGGAGGUGGAAACUUUCUGGGGGGACAAGACAGACCAGGCAUCGGUGGAUGUCACUGCAGCAAAACAAGGAUGGAUGAGGAUUCACCAGAUGGGCUGCUCUUCAAAGACCACAACUUCUCCUCUGACUUGUUGAGGCAGCUCAAUGGCCUGAGGCAAAACAGGAUGCUGACUGAUGUGACCAUCUGCACCAGUGCCUGGGAAGUGCCCUGCCACCGCAAUGUGCUGGCUUCCAGCAGUCCCUACUUCCGGGCCAUGUUCUGCAGCAACUUCCGGGAGAGCAUCGAGGCCAAAGUGCAGCUGAAAGGCAUUGAUGCCCCCACUCUGGAGCAGAUCAUCAUGUAUGUGUACACAGGGGAGGCGCACAUCACAGCCACAAACGUCCUCCCCCUGAUGGAGGCAGCCUCCAUGCUGCAGUACCCCAGGCUUUUUGAGGCCUGCUCCUCCUACCUGCAGAGCCAGCUGGCCCCCAGCAACUGCCUGGCCAUGCUCAGGCUCUCAGAAAUCUUGAGCUGCGAGACCCUCAAGAAGAAAGCCAGGGAGGUCGCCCUGACCUGCUUCCCAGAGGUGGCCUCAUCUGCUGACCUGAAGGAGCUCUGCGCCUUGGAGUUGAGAGACUACCUGGGAGAUGACGGGCUCUGCGGGGAGGAGGAAAAGGUGUUUGAGGUCCUCAUGGCUUGGGUCAAGCAUGAUGUCCAGGCCCGGAAGCAACACAUGCAGGAACUGUUGCAGCAGGUCCGGCUUCAGUACAUCCAUCCAUCCUUCUUCCAUCACUUCAUUGCCAAUGACACCCUCCUGCAGUCCUCACUGGCAUGCCAGGCCAUCCUGGAGACAGCCAAAAGACAGGUGUUCUCUUUGCAUGGCACCAGUGGCCUGGACUGCAAACCCCUGUGGCACGUCCCUCCUAGGAGCGCAUACCAAGACUUCCUCCUCCUUCUGGGUGGACGGAAGGACAACCAGCAGACCACCAGGGAUGUUCUGCUCUACAGCGCACAGACCGGCCAAUGGCAGAGCCUCGCCAAGCUCCCUGCCCGGCUCUACAAGGCCUCAGCUGUCACCUUGCAUCGCAGCGUCUACGUGUUCGGGGGCAUGGCUGUCAAUGGGGGAAAGCAUCUCAUCAGUCGCAGCGUCUACAUCUUCUCCCUGAAACUCAACCAGUGGAGGCUGGGGGAGCCCAUGCUGGCAGCCCGCUACUCUCACAGAAGCACCACCCACAAGAAUUUCAUCUUCUCCAUCGGGGGCAUUGGAGAAGGGCAGGAGCUCCUGGGCUCCAUGGAGAGGUAUGACAGCAUCUGUGAUGUCUGGGAGAGUAUGGCCAGUAUGCCAGUGGGGGUUCUCCACCCCGCUGUCGCUGUGAAGGACCAAAGGCUCUACCUUUUUGGGGGAGAGGACGUUAUGCAGAACCCAGUGCGCCUUAUCCAGGUUUAUCACAUUUCCAGAAACACGUGGUUCAAGAUGGAGACGAGGAUGAUCAAGAAUGUGUGUGCUCCUGCUGUGGUGCUGAGGGAGCGGAUUGUCAUUGUGGGAGGUUACACAAGGAGGAUUCUUGCCUAUGACCCUCGAUCCAACAAAUUUGUCAAAUGUGCGGACAUGAAAGACCGAAGGAUGCACCACGGGGCUACAGUGAUGGGGGACAAGCUCUAUGUGACAGGUGGGCGAAGGCUGACCACAGACUGCAACAUCGAGGACUCAGCCUCCUUUGACUGCUAUGACCCUGAGACGGACACCUGGACAUCCCAGGGACAGCUGCCUCACAAACUCUUUGACCACGCCUGCCUAACUCUCCAGUGCAUACCCCACACAGCCACCUUCUUGUGAGGCCCACACGGAACUUGUCUCAGCCAAAGCACUUUCUGUUGUAAGAGACAGACACCCAGCUCCAAAGAGCUUAAAAGGUUGCUGGAGAGCUCACAGGUGCCAGUCUGGAGGCCUGGUGCCAGGCAUAUGGUUACCAGAGCUGUGUCUCAAAAAUGGUGCUGAUGGAUCCUUUUGGGACUCCAGGCUCACCUCUUGAGCCAAUCACUAUUACCAGGGUUUGUGCUACUGUAACUAAGUAGCCCUGGAUCCUGUCCCUCUAGACAGAGGUGAGGUUAACCACUGUGAGUGACAGCCAUCUGACUGCAUGUAACAGUGCAGAAGCAGUUUUCCAAAGGAAGGAAUUCUGGGCUGACAAAAACUACAUUUUCCAAGCAUGGUGGUACAUGGCUGCAAUCCCAGCUACUCAGGAGGCUGAGUCAGAAGGAUCCAGUCCAAGACCAGUAUGAGCAAAAGCACAGACCCUAUAUGAAAAACAAACUAAAAAAUAAAAAGGGCUGAGGAUGUGGCCUGGGUGUGAGAUCCUAAGUUCAAGCCCCAGGACCAUCAAAAAAUCCAAAAAUGUAACAAGAGGGACAGCAUGAGAACUUGGCCGUGACUGUGUUUCUCUGCAUUCUGUAGACAGGGUACAUUGAAAUUCCAGAAAAGUAUGUGCAACUCAGUAUCUAAGGUUUGCAAAAUGAUCUUGCGCUGAAGAUAAAAAAGCGAAUAAAGUUUGUUUCUGAUGCCAAAUGAUGUUUUCCUCCAGCCUCCAGGGAACUAUAAACCUGCAGAAUUAAUCAGGAUUUUCAUUUUGUUAAGUAUUAUGAGAAUCGCUCUUCUGGGGAAAGCCAACAAAUUCUUACAGUGAUUACAGCAGCCGUUACCCUCCAGACGCCAGGGCUGACGUUCCCCAUGGCCCCUUUAUCUCCAAGUGCCGCCCACUCUGGCUCCGUGUCAAACUCCGAAAUCAGCUAAAGUGUAGACCAGCAGCUAUCAGCACUGCUUCACAUCACAGUCACCUGGGAGGAUGUCUGGAAACAGAGUUGAGCCCCAUUAGGGACAGAUGGACAGGGGAGUCCCCAAGAUGGAGCCCAUGAAGCCCCAUGAAUUUGCCUGCAACCCAAAUGCUGCUCACUUGCCAAGACCCGGAUACUUGCUCUCCAUCUCCACUUUCCAAGUUCAACAGGCAUCUCAGACUGGACACGUUCAAGACCACUCCCACCCCACAACCCUCCUCCUCCCACAAGUUUCCCCACCCUGGGAGAGGAUAACACUUUUUCUUCAGUCCCUCAGGCCACAGCUAUAGACUCCUUUGCUUCCUCUCUGUAUCAAAAACUCCACUCUUAUUUGUUCCACAGCUCAGCCAUGUCUCGCCAUCCACAGUGCUAACUCUAGCCCAAGCUGCCAUCUUUUCUCAUCUGAGCUGACACAAUAGAUUCAUCAGUGGUCUCUCAGCUUCCACCUUGGCCCCCUGACUCUCUUCUCCACACAGCAGCCUGUGUGGACUUUUAAAAACAUAAAUGCAAGUCAAAAUAGCUCAUUCCCCAUUUAAAAUCCUCCCAAGUCUUUCCAGCUCACUUGCCUUUGCUAUAAUUAAUUUCUCUCUUGUUCCUGAUAGACACAUAUCCUGAUGCCAUUGCAGCCCUCACCUUACACACCAGAUAAAAGUCACUGCAUCAAGGAAGCCUUCCAUGCACCCCACCCACCCUGGCUUGGGUCAGCUCUCCUAUUAAAUGCUACCAUUGGCCCCUCUGCUUCCCCUGGAGACCCUCCUCCUUUUUCUAAUCACUUGUUCACUCUAUUUAUUCCCAUCUAACUGCUUAUAUCUGUCCUUCUUAAGGCUGGCCUCAGUGGCUGCCACAUAUAUUGUAGCUUUCAAAUAAACAUGUGAUCAGUGAAUUAAAGAAUUGGUAAGUAGCUGGACAUGGUAGCAUAUAUCUGUAAUUCCCAGCACCCAGGAGGUAGAGACAGGAAGAUCAC